AAAGCUCAAAUUUAAAAUCUGGCAGUUUCUUUAGCUGUCCGAGUUGUAAUCUAGAGAAGUGUUAUCCGCGCUGGACCGUGUACAAGUCUCCUGGAAUGGAGCAUCAUAGAGGGUGAGAAUCCCGUCUUUGACAUGGACUACCAGGGCUUUGUGAUGCGCUCUCAAAGAGUCGAGUUGUUUGGGAAUGCAGCUCAAAAUGGGUGGUAAAUUCCAUCUAAAGCUAAAUAUUGGCGAGAGACCGAUAGCGAA
rnacentral:rRNA from 1 species